GCGGAUGUGAUGGAAUUGGUAGACAAGCAAGAUUUAGGUUCUUGUUCGCAAGCGUGUGGGUUCGAGUCCCUUCAUCCGCA
rnacentral:tRNA from 1 species